ensembl:lncRNA
AAGUAGCUGCUGAAAUAUAUCAUUCCCUUUUUCCCUAGGUUGGGAAGAAGUUCUGGAGACUCUUUCUGAGGAUUCCCAAGUGUGGCCCAAGCUGGCCAUCGAAACCACAGCCAGAACAAGAGCCAGAAGCCACAGGUAAAGACAGAGAAUGGCUCCCUUCCCACCGAGUUCAAGAAAUUGACCAUAAAGAGAAGGACAAGGAGAGGACGCAGGAAGCCUCGCAAGGAGAUUCAAUAACGUCUCCAUAAGAUACUGACUCUUCUGCUUCUAUUCCAGAAUUUAAGUACAGCUACUGGGAUAAAGAGAUGGUCUUUGGGGAA